rnacentral:tRNA from 1 species
ACCUGGCUGGCUCAGUUGGUAGAGCCUGUGACUCUUGAUCUCAAGGUCAUGAGUUCAAGCCCCAUGUUAGGCA